UACGAAGGGGGCUAGCGUUGCUCGGAAUUACUGGGCGUAAAGGGAGCGUAGGCGGACAGUUUAGUCAGAGGUGAAAGCCCAGGGCUCAACCCUGGAAUUGCCUUUGAUACUGAUUGUCUUGAGUAUGGGAGAGGUGAGUGGAACUCCGAGUGUAGAGGUGAAAUUCGUAGAUAUUCGGAAGAACACCAGUGGCGAAGGCGGCUCACUGGCCCGGUACUGACGCUGAGGUGCGAAAGCGUGGGGAGCAAACAGG
rnacentral:rRNA from 1 species